rnacentral:rRNA from 1 species
UACGUAGGGUGCAAGCGUUAAUCGGAAUUACUGGGCGUAAAGCGUGCGCAGGCGGUUAUAUAAGACAGAUGUGAAAUCCCCGGGCUCAACCUGGGAACUGCAUUUGUGACUGUAUAGCUAGAGUACGGCAGAGGGGGAUGGAAUUCCGCGUGUAGCAGUGAAAUGCGUAGAUAUGCGGAGGAACACCGAUGGCGAAGGCAAUCCCCUGGGCCUGUACUGACGCUCAUGCACGAAAGGGUGGGGAGCAAACAGG